GCACGGUUGGCGCAGUGGUUUAGCUUGCGCACUUCAUAUGUGCGGGACCCGGGUUCGAAUCCCGGACCGUGUA
rnacentral:tRNA from 1 species